rnacentral:misc_RNA from 1 species
AGAAAUGGUCCAAAUUUUUUUCCACUAUGAUUUCCUUUCAAAUUUUCUGUUUCUGGAGCUGGCUUCGUCUCUGUUUCAAAUUUUCUGUUUUCGUCUCUGUAGCAAUUUCUUUGCUAUUAGCGUGGACACUGGAGCUCGCAUUGGAAAGCAUUUCUUUGCUAUUAGCAUCGACACUGGAGCUCGCAUUCGAAAGGGUGGAGGAGUUGCCCGUGAUCUCAAAGAGGCACUAGCCAAAAUGGGUGAUUUGGAGUUCAAUUAGACAGAGGGUGACAACAUCAUCUCAGACUAGGCCUGCUCAAAAACAUUUCCAUAUUUAUUCCAAUGUCGCCAAAGAAGGUAAGAAUAGAGAGACAGACAGGACAACGAAAACGACUGCUUAACGUUUAUAAAACGACAAUUCUCACUUCACGAUAAUAAGGUCAACUAACCGUUACCAUCUUGGACCCAUAACAAAAAAAUAAUAACAAUAAUCUAACGGUCUUUACAGCUUUCAAUCUUACACCUUCAAAAGUAACGGUUUUCGUUCCUCACAGUUUCUAUCUUUACCCUUUUCCUUUUAGGACCACGUUACAGCUCUUUAUUUAACUAACUAGUUUUUGGAUUUUUAUUUUUUUAAUUAGUGGUUCAUAUUUCUCUAUAUUUUAAAAUUAUUGACAUCAUUUUAUUUUUACCAAUGAAGGUGUUCU